rnacentral:tRNA from 1 species
GGGGCUGUGCGAGGAGUGGUUUGCUUAGGCUCUCGUAUAGUAGUUAGCUGAAGACGGGGGUUCAAAUCCCCCCGGCUCCACCA